rnacentral:rRNA from 11 species
CCUUAGGGCCCAAAUACAUUAAAGGCACCAGAUCAUGUCUGAUCUUGGAAGAUAAAUAGGUUCAGCCCUGGAUAGUACCUGAAUGGGAGACUGCUAAUGAAUAUCACAUGCUGUAGACU